rnacentral:rRNA from 1 species
UACGUAGGGCGCAAGCGUUAUCCGGAAUUAUUGGGCGUAAAGAGCUCGUAGGCGGUUUGUCGCGUCUGCCGUGAAAGUCCGGGGCUCAACUCCGGAUCUGCGGUGGGUACGGGCAGACUAGAGUGAUGUAGGGGAGACUGGAAUUCCUGGUGUAGCGGUGAAAUGCGCAGAUAUCAGGAGGAACACCGGUGGCGAAAGCAGCUCUCUGGGACGGUACUGACGCUGAGACGCGAAAGCGUGGGGAGCGAACAGG